rnacentral:lncRNA from 1 species
GGCCCUUCAAUCUCCCUUACUGGCCUCUCUGCAAAAGGGGCAAAAGCAGUGGCCUUUUUGUGUAGCUCUGGUAGGAAUCUAGGUCCCUAAUUUGUUGGCAGAAAAAGAACUUGCAGCACUAGGGAGCAGCUGAUUCUGACUUCCUUACCCAUGAGGCCAACAACCUUGGCCGGUUCUGGCCUGGGUCAGCCAUUUUAGCCUACUGAUGUGAGGGCGGAGGGUGCUGUGUGGUUCACAGCAGGGGCAGCGAGCAGCGAGCGGGCACAGAUCAGAGACAGGUGUCAGUGAUACACAAAGCUGCUUCCUGUGAAGUGAGCUGGGAUGAAGCCAACAGCACCAGUCACCAACUCCCGCUGUCCCUGAACUACACCAUCAGCAUUUUCCUGACGCAGUGUUGCAGAAGGCUGAAGGAUUCAGCAUUUCCAGCUUCAGGAGAGGGAAAAAAAAAACAAGACGAAGGGAAAGAAGCUGGCUGGAAAAGAAGAUUUUGCUUAGGUUGCACUGUUCUGGACUUGCAGGGAUGAAAAGGCAGGAGGGGGAGGGGGAAGUGGCAAUAGAAAGGGGAAACCUCUUCCCACCUUAGCCGUAAGUCAACCCCAGCCCCAGCACUUCCUGGCUGCGUG